GUGAGGCUUCGGCGGCAGCCCGGAGCGGUCCCCGAGCCGCCGUCUUUCCGCCGCCGCACUGCUGCAGAGUCAACACAUUCAACGGUGUCUCAUAUUUUCAAAGGUCCAAAACCGCAAGGCGUCUUCGAGAUGUUCGUCUUUGGUGUCUGGUGCUUUGUGGAGAAACAGUCAGCUUCCUAUAUUUGGACGUAAUAGUGCCUUCUGUUACAAACAUUAGAGCAGCAGCAGCUGGUAACUGGAAGUCUCCACCAAGUGAAAUAGCUUGUGCUAGCAGCAUCAUCAGAGCAGCACCUGAGGGCCCUUGAGCUGCUGCUGCUGGAGUCUGAAGUGCAGCAAGAGAGUAA